rnacentral:rRNA from 1 species
GAGUUUGAUCCUGGCUCAGAACGAACGCUGGCGGCAGGCCUAACACAUGCAAGUCGAGCGCUACCUUCGGGUGGCGGCGGACGGGUUAGUAACGCGUGGGAAUAUACCCUUCUCUACGGAAUAGCCUCGGGAAACUGAGAGUAAUACCGUAUACGCCCUUCGGGGGAAAGAUUUAUAGGAGAAGGAUUAGCCCGCGUAAGAUUAGAUAGUUGGUGGGGUAAUGGCCUACCAAGUCUACGAUCUUUAGCUGGUUUUAGAGGAUGAUCAGCAACACUGGGACUGAGACACGGCCCAGACUCCUACGGGAGGCAGCAGUGGGGAAUCUUAGACAAUGGGCGAAAGCCUAAUCUAGCCAUGCCGCGUGAGUGAUGAAGGCCUUAGGGUCGUAAAGCUCUUUCGCCAGGGAUGAUAAUGACAGUACCUGGUAAAGAAGCCCCGGCUAACUCCGUGCCAGCAGCCGCGGUAAUACGGAGGGGGCUAGCGUUGUUCGGAAUUACUGGGCGUAAAGCGUACGUAGGCGGAUCAGA